GACAUAUUUAUAAAAUAUCCAGUGCAGUGCAGCUACACUCCAGGUUUAUGCCAAAUUAGGUGUUGAACCUGAAUGAAUUCGGGCAUCUGCUGCAGUGCAGAUUACAGGUCACCCUGUGACCUCACACAUGGAGGUUGGCCUCCUCCUGCUUUGUUUAAUCCAUCUACAAAAUUGAGAAAAACAAGGACCUCCAUGAAGAAACAGGAUCCAUUGCAAAGCACAUCCAGAACAGGAAGACCUUUAUUCUUUCUUACUCAUGAGAAAGAUCUGUCAAGUCAGUGAGUGGUUUGAUUGAAUGAGAGCAGUGAAACUGCUCUCUGUGGUGGAAGAUUUUUAAGAAGAGAGGUGUCGUUGUGUAUUUCUCGACGUCAGUCCAUUGUGAAUCAUGCAGACACAUCAGUGAAAAAACACAACCUGCUGCACAAGAAGCUGUGAGCAACAAGAAAUUUCGGCUGGAUGACUGCAUAAGGGCUUUGCAAGACCGCCAAUAAUUUUUUAUAUUCAGAGUUAAAUAGAGCAAUAAGAUAGAAUUUCAGGUUUAGUGCAAUGGAUUGCAGCUCUUCAGUCAAUCAAAUUAUAGUUCAAUCAGUUCAUUUUAAUCACUUCUCUGGAGAGAAGUAAACCCCUAUGUUGAAGAAUAUGCAGCAAUUUUAUUGAUGGAAAGUUUAAUUGUUUCAUUUUUCCUUACCGUCUGUAACAUACUAGACUUUUAAUCAGUGGGAACUGAAGUUAUAAUGAAGUAAAGUCCACUUUCCACAGUUCACAACUAGCUGAAAAUAAUUGGGUUGAGACUCCCAUCCAGACAGUGUAAUGCCUCUGGCAUUUUCCUGAAAACUACACUUAAUUGCUUUGCUGAUGUUGUUAAGUGGUCCUAAGGGGGAUGAAGUAGUAAAGCUGCUCACAUAUGCAGGGAAACAAUACACAAAAAAUGUCUUACAAGGUCCUUAAAGGAGGACCAACUAGUGACUAGAAGACAAUAUAUUGCACUUUUCCCCCCCUUUUGGGAAAAGUGCAAUAUAUUAUACCACAGAGAACACAGAGAAGAGGCUGAUAAAAUAAACUGGAGAUUCUAUAAACACUAUUUUUAUUUAAGGGCAGUAAGCUUGGGAGCCAAAAUACAGAAAACGUCAAGGCAGAGCUCUUGCAAUCAAACCUGCAUCUUUAGGCUAGCCCAAGUUGCUUGGCAUUUUUAUGCUGAACACUGGUGAGCUGCUGCCUGUCUUCAGCACCUUGGCCUGAGGAACAGAUGUACUCUUGUCCCCAGGGAGGGAGGACAGCUUGCUCUCUGUUCUCUAAAGUGACAGGAUGUGAGCAGCCAUGAGCUGAAAGCCUUGUCCAGGCAUCAGUGGGACCAGCACAUGUACCCUGUUAGGCUCUAAACAUAGCCAGAGAAGGAAUAACACUUUGGCAUUUCUCCUUAUUUACUGCAUUGUUAGGAGACCCUCCAUGAUUAUAUGGCAAUUGUUUAAAAUUAUGAAUUAACUGAUAAU